rnacentral:rRNA from 1 species
AACGAACGCUGGCGGCAGGCCUAACACAUGCAAGUCGAGGGAGAAGCGGAUCUUCGGAUCCGUGGAGACCGGCGCACGGGUGAGUAACGCGUGGGAACCUACCCCGAGGUGGGGGAUAACCACUGGAAACGGUGGCUAAUACCGCAUAAGCCCUUUUAUCCGAGAGGAUAAUUGGGGAGAGAUUUAUCGCCUUGGGAUGGGCCCGCGUUGGAUUAGCUAGUUGGUGAGGUAAGAGCUCACCAAGGCUUCGAUCCAUAGCUGGUCUGAGAGGAUGAUCAGCCACACUGGGACUGAGACACGGCCCAG